rnacentral:piRNA from 1 species
UGAGUCAGAAAACUUCGUGGAUGUUCUCAAC